rnacentral:rRNA from 1 species
UACGUAGGGUCCAAGCGUUAAUCGGAAUUACUGGGCGUAAAGCGUGCGCAGGCGGUUUCGCAAGUCAGAUGUGAAAGCCCCGGGCUCAACCUGGGAACUGCAUUUGAAACUACGAGGCUAGAGUGUGUCAGAGGGGGGUAGAAUUCCACGUGUAGCAGUGAAAUGCGUAGAGAUGUGGAGGAAUACCGAUGGCGAAGGCAGCCCCCUGGGAUGACACUGACGCUCAUGCACGAAAGCGUGGGGAGCAAACAGG